ensembl:lncRNA WDFY3-AS2 WDFY3 antisense RNA 2
AGAUGGCCUUUGGUUGGAAAGGUCUCAUCUGCUUCUUAAAUCCCGCCGUAACUGUGAAUGUUUGCGAUGCCACCACAUCCCCAGUACAAGAGAACUGGAGCAUCUCUGGCUCCUUCCAUAAUCGAAGGGCUUCCAGCGUAGGGCGUAGGGGGAGAGGCCCGAAGCCCUGGAGACAGCGCCCGAGGGAUGGAGGCCGCGCUCGGCUGCGCUCAGGUCCGGGUGGCUCCGGGAGCUGAGACCCCGCAGGAUGCAGCGGGGGGGGGCCAGGGCCUGAUCCCCUACCCCUGCGAGCCAGGGCCGCCUACGCCCCCACUGCUUCCCACAGGACACAGCAAGAGGCAACAUUUUGGAAGCAGAGGGCAACUCUCACUGGAAACCAAAUCUCCUGGCACCUUGAUCUUGGAUUUUACAGCCUCCAGAACUGAUAGCUGGGAGGCAUUACAUAGUCAUGUGCGAGGUCAAAACUGAGUCACCACCACAACCAAGUUCCAGCUGGCAAGAAGAGGAAAAAUAACACAGAGGAGUUAUGACCAGUGUUGUAAGGAUCUGGCCUAGAAAUGGCAUGCAUCUCUUCCACUAAUAUCCUAUUGGUAAAAAUGUAGUCACAUGGGCACACCACCUAUCUGCAUGGAAGGCUGGGAAAUGUUGAUCGGUAGGGCAGCCAUAUGUGUAGGAAGGAGAAAACAGAAUUUGGUGGAUACCUAGUAGUCUCUGCCAUACCCUUGACCAGAAAUUUUUCUUCUAAAGAAUUUAAUUCUAAAAGUUAUAGACAUUCCCAAAGAUAUACCUGCAAGCAUCACAGCUUUGUGUAUAAUUGCAAAAGUUGAAAUCAACAUGAAUGCCCAAAAUAGUGAAUUAUUUAAACAGAUUAUUACCCAUAUUAUGAAGAAAUACUCUGCAACUCUUAAAAAUAAAUGUAAUGUGCCAGGCGCAAUGGGAUAUGCCUGCAGGCCCAGCUACACGGGAGGCCAAGGCAGGAGGAUCACUUGAAAUCAAGAGUUCAAGUCUAGCCUAGACAACAUAGUGAGACUUGGUCUCUAAAAAAGAAAAAAAAAAAUAAAACUGAUGUAAUGAAUAUAUAAUUACAACAAAAGAGGUCUAACACUAUAGUAGAAAAGUUUGGGGCACUCAUCCCAUUCAUAAUUAUUUUACAUUUAAAUUACUGUUCCUACUUAAGUGGUGAGCUUGGUAACCAUUUUCAUAUCAGGUGAUACUGCUGCAGUAAUCAUAGCUGUUUGAAUCAGGAAUAAUCCCAAUCACAUUUUCUCUUAAUCGUUUAUUAUACUGGGCAUUGGGGUUGCAAGAUAAUGCACAGUCCGAGCUCAAUACAUGUCUUCAUGUACCUGUAUGUAAAUCCCACUUUUAUUCUAAAAUUCUUUGAAUAUUUUGUUUCUUGGAACCCAAUGAUCCUAAGAAAAUUAUGUACUUUUACCUGAAAAUUAAAACCAAUAUUUAUAAAAAGUGUAUAUGCAGUAUGAUACCACUUUUAAAAAAAGAUAAAUUUAUAGAAAAAAGUUUAUAUGACUGACAACAAUGUCUCUGAGUGGUAGGAUUACAGUUAAUUUUUAUUUUCUUCAUUCUACUUAUCUUUAUUUUCUGAACUUUCUACAAUGAACAUGUUUUAUUUUUACUUUUGUUAAAAUAAAUAACAUUUAAUUUGACGGAAAAUUCUAAAAAUCAACAUUUGGUAACUUAAAUAUUCAUUGGCACAUGAUUCUGUGCCUGUUUCUGGGGGUCAUUCCCAUGAGAAGAGCAGGUAGAACUUAUGAGAAUAGAGCAGUCGAAAUAUUAUAGGUUUCAUAUUUUACGGCUUUAUUGAAAACAUUGAUAUAUUGAAUAUUCAUAAAUUUUAAUUUAACUUUCUUUUAUAAUCCUUAAUGUGAGGCUAAGGUAUAAGGAGAAAGGAGAUUGGUAAGGAAGUGUGAUACAUAUUGAAUCAGGUGUCAAGGUACCAUUUGUGCCUGGAUCUGACCAAUAGACCAAGGUAAAAAUCUCAAAGAAUGAGACUUGUAAUGAGAAUGCCACAAACUUGAAUACCUUAUGCACAAAACACAAACAUUGUUAUGCAUAAUGUACAUGAACCCUGAAACAAAGAUAAUGAUUUGGACCACCCAACUGAAGUGGCAUGUUAUGUUUUUGGCAUGAACAAAAGAAACAAGAGAGAAAAAAAUCAAAAUAAUUAAAAUAAAUUGUUAGAGAAAAGUUACUUUAAAAAUAGCUAUAACGCUUUGCAAUUUCAGUAACAGUUCUGCCUCUGAUGCAAUGUAAAACAUGUAUUAGACAUUCAGGCUCCACAAUAAAUUUUAAUGAGCACUACAAAUUUAGAAUAUAUAAAAAUAUCAGUAACCUAUGAAUUCAUCAACAUAACUCACUUUUCAGUUAAGUUAGGCUGAGUUGAAAUUCUACUAAGUUUUCCCAUAUUCUUGAUAAAGGCUAAAUUUGAAAUAAUUUAUUUAGAUGACUAAUUGGCAAUUUGAUAGUAGUUACAUUUUAUGUAACACUUGAUAUAAUAACCCAAAUUAAUUAGCUCAAUAUUAUCUUCUGUGGUUUAUUGAUCCAAAAGUACAUAUUUGUUAUGUAAACUUAUACUAUGUAAACUUGAAUUAGUUUUUUGCUUCCUUGAAUUAAUAAAGCCCAUUAAUGCAAAUCUAAGCCUUCAUAGACUUUUCCAAUCCUUAGUUAAAUAUUAAAAACUGAGUAUUGUAGUUAUUUGCUAGGUAUAAAAGGUGACUCAGAGUAGAGAGUAAGAUGUCAGCAAAUAGACAAUAAGAUGUCAGCAAAAGUGCCUCAAAUUUUAACUGCGUCAAGUUAAGGGCAUUGUAAAUACUGUAGUUUUAUGUAGCUUGCAACUUCUACUGAAAUGAGUUUAAUCAUGUCUUUCACAUAGCUGAAGUUUGUGUCAAGAUUUAAGCUGAUUUUCUCAUUCUUAUCAAAGUCUCACCUGGGGGUAGGGAGGGGUAGGCCUACCUCCCACCUCUAUACUAUCAUUUUAGGAACAGACAGGCAUAAAUCUGUUCAUAUGGUAGAACACAUGAUGUUAGAGUAUAUUUUGUUGAAUGCUAUGGAAUAUUAAUAUAAUUAAUUCUAAAAUAUCACCUAAAAUAUGUCAACUGAAGAUCUGACUGUACUAAAUAUGAAAAAUAAAGCAGCA